rnacentral:rRNA from 1 species
GACGAACGCUGGCGGCGUGCCUAAUACAUGCAAGUCGAACGAAGCUGUUUUAACUGGUGCUUGCACCGACUUAAACAACUGAGUGGCGAACGGGUGAAGAACACGUGGGUAACCUGCCCAAAAGCGGGGGAUAACAUUUGGAAACAGAUGCUAAUACCGCAUAAUCACAGAAACCACAUGGUUUCUGUGUCAAAGAUGGUUUCGGCUAUCACUUUGGGAUGGACCCGCGGCGUAUUAGCUAGUUGGUAAGGUAAUGGCUUACCAAGGCAAUGAUACGUAGCCGAACUGAGAGGUUGAUCGGCCACAUUGGGACUGAGACACGGCCCAAACUCCUACGGGAGGCAGCAGUAGGGAAUCUUCCGCAAUGGACGAAAGUCUGAUGGAGCAACGCCGCGUGAGUGAAGAAGGUUUUCGGAUCGUAAAACUCUGUUGUCAGAGAAGAACGUGUGCGAGAGUAACUGUUCGUGCAGUGACGGUAUCUGGCCAGAAAGCCACGGCUAACUACGUGCCAGCAGCCGCCGUAA